rnacentral:lncRNA from 1 species
GCGGCCGCAGCAGUGCCCCAGCCAACACCCUUCCCGCACUCUAGGUGACCUCUUUGUGAAGUCUUGGACGAGGGAGGCUAUUGAAGAGAGGUGAGAACAGAACACAAGUUUGGGCAAAGGCUGUCCAGAAGCUGGAACUUGGGAGAGAAACUGAGGUGUGCCUCAGUCUCCAGUUGAUUCUCCCGGAGCGGAGCUGCGGCUCCUCUCUUCUGGACUCUGCCUCUGCCUGAAAGACCCACCAUGGGGACACACGCCAGGAAAAAGGCAAGCUUGCUGCUGCUGGUGCUGGCCACAGUGGCCCUGGUCUCCUCUCCAGGAUGGAGUUUUGCCCAGGGAACCCCAGCUACCUUUGGACCCAUCUUCGAAGAGCAACCCAUUGGCCUGCUAUUCCCAGAGGAGUCUGCAGAGGAUCAGGUGACACUGGCGUGCCGUGCCCGUGCUAGCCCUCCAGCCACCUACAGGUGGAAGAUGAAUGGCACAGAUAUGAACCUGGAACCUGGCUCCCGUCACCAGCUGAUGGGGGGCAACCUGGU